AGCCUCCAAGACCAACUCAUCAGAGAAGUAGCUGAUGAUUGGGAAACAAUAACAAACUAUGAGGCAUGAGGAUUGGGUGAGGGACCAAUUGUCACAAUGUCUAAGUCCAACAAGAGUGCAUCCCUUAGGCCCUCCAUUGCAUGGACAUCCUGUGCCAGUGUGAUCCAAGCACUUGUGGAGUGCCAGUUGUCCAGUUGUGGAGACUACAGCACAUCGAGCCUGUGGACGGACAGACAUGAGGUGUGACAUGUGGAACAUCAGGCUCACCCCAUGAGAAGCAGUGCAUGAUCAACGCCACCCUCAGGAAGGAAAUCUGCUGGAAG
rnacentral:lncRNA from 1 species